AACAGAUCUUUGCUCUGGAUGGUGAGAUAGAUGAGAUCGUGGGUCAUACCUAUUUGUUUCUCAAAGAGCAACUUGAACUUUCCACAAUGCCACCUCCGUCUGGCAUUCUUCAUGGAACCAUAAUAGAUCAAUUUAUUGCUUGUGGGAAAUCAAGAGACGCUGCCCAUGAGCUUGCUUCCCAGAUCUGGCUAACUGUUCUCGAUAAUUUGGAGGAAAAUGAGCACACGUUUCUCUUACUUAAACGCCUUGCACAAGAGGGCGAUGUUUUUCUUCCAUACCCGUACACAAAAUCCAUUAAAGUACAAUGGAGGGUUUUUGAGAAGCUUUUCACUGA
rnacentral:misc_RNA from 1 species